rnacentral:rRNA from 1 species
UACGUAGGGACCAAGCGUUGUCCGGAAUCAUUGGGCGUAAAGAGCGUGUAGGCGGCUUGUUAAGUCUUGCGUGAAAUCUCGGGGCUCAACCCCGAGCGGUCGUGAGAAACUGGCAGGCUAGAGUGCGGGAGAGGGGGGUGGAAUUCCCAGUGUAGCGGUGAAAUGCGUAGAUAUCAGGAAGAACACCUAUGGCGAAGGCAGCUCUCUGGGACGGUACUGACGCUGAGACGCGAAAGCGUGGGGAGCGAACAGG